UUUCAAAACAAAUGGACCUAUUUACUUGUGCAGCUGUCUCCCGAAGCUAGUACUGUUUUACAAUGCUGUUAUUGAUUUGUUCUCAUUAUCGGCUUCUGAGAGGCUGAGGGAGACACACUUGAUGUGGUGGGAUAACAUAGGGGGAAACAACAGCAUGAAGGAAUAACUCUGCUUUGUUCAAGGAUGUGGCUUUUAUGAAAAAACAAACAAACAAACAAACUCUUAAAAGCUGGAUUACCAAAACACUUGCCAUUGAUAAAACAGUCCUUCCACCAAGGCCAGAAGAACCACAGUGAGCCUCUAAAAGGAGAGGUCCUGAAAAAUCGCAUAUCUUGUCAGCCAUCUGAUUGCUCUUAGCUAUAACAGCAGCACUGUCAUAGCUCUACUGCUUGUGCAUUGUAAUGCAUGAAGAACUGGAAGUCUGGCAAUAAGCCUCCAUCAUCAUGGUAAUGUAGAGAAACCAUUUAUCCCCACAACCACAUAGGAUUAAUACUGCGAAUGUUUCACUUCUUGCAUUUAAGUAAACAGAAGAAAAGUCUACAAAAUUAUGUGGCCAGGCAAACAAAGAAGUUAUUUAUUGUAUUUGUUCAUGCUGAUUUCAUUAAUUUUUAAUGUGCAUACUCCAUUAACUCUACCAAACUAGAAACCUAGUGUCCAAGAAGAAUACAAAUAA